AUACGGGGGGUGCAAGCGUUAUUCGGAUUUAUUGGGCGUAAAGGGCGCGUAGGCGGCUUGGUAAGUCAGAUGUGAAAGCCCGGGGCUUAACCCCGGAAGUGCAUUUGAAACUAUCAGGCUUGAGUAUGGGAGAGGGAAGUGGAAUUCCUGGUGUAGAGGUGAAAUUCGUAGAUAUCAGGAGGAACACCGGUGGCGAAGGCGACUUCCUGGACCAAUACUGACGCUGAGGCGCGAAGGCGUGGGGAGCAAACAGGAUUAGAUACCCUAGUAGUCC
rnacentral:rRNA from 1 species